rnacentral:rRNA from 1 species
GACAGAGGUCCCAAGCGUUGUUCGGAUUCACUGGGCGUAAAGGGUGCGUAGGCGGUUGGGUAAGUCCGACGUGAAAUCCCGUGGCUUAACCACGGAAUUGCGUUGGAAACUAUCCAGCUCGAGGGUUGGAGAGGGGACUGGAAUUCUCGGUGUAGCAGUGAAAUGCGUAGAUAUCGAGAAGAACACCGGUGGCGAAGGCGAGUCCCUGGACAACUCCUGACGAUGAGGCACGAAAGCUAGGGGAGCAAACAGG